UGUAUGGUUAAGUGACUAAGCGUACACGGUGGAUGCCUGGGCAGUCAGAGGCGAUGAAGGACGUACUAACUUGCGAUAAGCGCAGAUAAGGCAGUAAGAGCCGUUUGAGUCUGCGAUUUCCGAAUGGGGAAACCCAACUGCAUAAGCAGUUACUGUUAACUGAAUACAUAGGUUAACAGAGCAAACCGGGGGAACUGAAACAUCUAAGUACCCCGAGGAGAAGAAAUCAACCGAGAUUCCGGUAGUAGCGGCGAGCGAACCUGGAUUAGCCCUUAAGCACUCGGUGAAGUAGGUGAACAAGCUGGAAAGCUUGGCGAUACAGGGUGAUAGCCCCGUAACCGACGCUUCAUCGAGCGUGAAAUCGAGUAGGGCGGGACACGUGAUAUCCUGUCUGAAUAUGGGGGGACCAUC
rnacentral:rRNA from 1 species